rnacentral:rRNA from 1 species
AUUGAACGCUGGCGGCAGGCUUAACACAUGCAAGUCGAGCGGGGAUAGGGUGCUUGCACCUGAUUCCUAGCGGCGGACGGGUGAGUAAUGCUUAGGAAUCUGCCUAUUAGUGGGGGACAACAUUCCGAAAGGGAUGCUAAUACCGCAUACGCCCUACGGGGGAAAGCAGGGGAUCUUCGGACCUUGCGCUAAUAGAUGAGCCUAAGUCGGAUUAGCGAGUUGGUGGGGUAAAGGCCUACCAAGGCGACGAUCUGUAGCGGGUCUGAGAGGAUGAUCCGCCACACUGGGACUGAGACACGGCCCAGACUCCUACGGGAGGCAGCAGUGGGGAAUAUUGGACAAUGGGGGGAACCCUGAUCCAGCCAUGCCGCGUGUGUGAAGAAGGCCUUUUGGUUGUAAAGCACUUUAAGCGAGGAGGAGGCGCUCUAGGAUAAUACCCUAGAUGCGUGGACGUUACUCGCAGAGUAAGCACCGGCUAACUCUGUGCCAGCCGCCGCGGUAACAC